UACGUAGGGGGCAAGCGUUGUCCGGAAUCAUUGGGCGUAAAGAGCGCGUAGGCGGUCCGUUAAGUCCGCUCUGAAAGCCCGGGGCUCAACCCCGGGAGGCGGGCGGAUACUGCCGGGCUAGAGUCCGGAAGAGGCGAGUGGAAUUCCUGGUGUAGCGGCGAAAUGCGCAGAUAUCAGGAGGAACACCGGUGGCGAAGGCGGGUCUCUGGGCCGAAAUUGACGCUGAGGAGCGAAAGCGUGGGGAGCAAACAGG
rnacentral:rRNA from 1 species